rnacentral:lncRNA from 1 species
CGCCACGAUCCUUCAUUUCCUUUUUCGCCCCGUCUCCCUUCCUGUCCAAUUGGUCGAUCGGGAUGCGUGGUGUUGUGCUGCUGUCAUCGAGAAUCCUACAAUUCAGGGGGCGAAUCUUGUUAGCUGUAGACAUGUAGUACAACAAGUGCUUAGGGUAUCGUCUUAGGCCGAAUGGAUUGUUUUCUUGUUAUAGCAUAGCGGAUUGGUGACUGUGCGUUAGGUUUAAUUCCACAUGCUUGUAGAAAACCAAGGUGAAGCCACUUCUGGUUAAGCUCAAUUAGCUUCGUGAGAUGCUUUUUUCCUUCUAAUAAAUCUGAUAGAAUUCGAGGACUGUUUGACAAAUGAUCCAUUGGCAACUGUAAAUGCUGUUGAAGUCACAUGUUUUCCCACACCCACACAUCAAAUCGACUAGACGCGAAACUGAAUUAUGAUUCAGCUGGUGUACUUCUGUUUCUUUUGCUGACACCACGUGAUUUCUUUUGACCUAUGAGCCUUUACAAGUCAUAUUUCCGUUAUGCUAUGGUAAUAGGCUUCCGCUUGUUCUUCUGUAGGGCUUUAGGAAAGUUGAUCCUGAACAAUGGGAGUUUGCUAAUGAGGAUUUCAUUAGGGGACAACGGCACCGACUGAAAAAUAUACAUAGGCGUAAGCCUAUAUUCAGCCAUUCAUCACACCCUCAGGGUUCUGGACCAUUAGCAGAUAAUGAGAGGCGGGAAUAUGAGGACGAAAUUGAAAAGCUUAAGCGCGAUAAUGAUGCUCUGACAUUAGAGCUUGAAAAGAAUGCACAAAAGAAAAUUGAUAUGGAGAGACGAAUGCAGGAGCUGGAAGAUAAGUUGAUCUAUUUGGAGGAUCGGCAAAAGAAUCUGAUAGCAUAUGUCAGAGAUAUUGUACAGGCACCAGGAUUUCGCUCUAGCUUUGUGCAGCAACCUGAUCAUCACGGAAAGAAAAGGAGACUACCAGUACCUAUUUCACUCCACCAAGAUGCAAAUGCCGAGGGGAAUCAGAUUGUGCACGGGGGCUUAACAAACCCACCGGUUUGCAUAGAAUCAUUUGACAAAAUGGAGUCUUCCUUGAACUCAUUGGAGAAUUUCUUUCGAGAAGCAAGUGAAGCAUUUGAUAUUUCAUAUGAUGGUGUCCCUGGCCCUUCAUCUGCCGUUGUUAUCACAGAGCUCCAUUCAUCUGGAGAAAGUGAUCCCCAUGUACCAUCGCCUCCGUCAAGGAUGCAUACCUCUUCAGCUGGUGCAGGAGAUUCACCCUCAAGGAUGCAUACCUCUUCAGCUGGUGCAGGAGAUUCGCUCUCUUCUCAUGACGUAACAGAGUCAACUAGCUGCGCAGAAAGUCCUCCCCUCCCUCAAAUGAUGUCCUUUACAGAUUCACGAGCUAAGGUGUCUGAGAUAGAUGUUAAUCUGGAGCCUGCUAUUACAGAAACUGGUCCAUCAAGAGACCAAGCUGCCGAGGACUCUCCUCAUCCAGCACCUGGGGCAAACGACGGGUUCUGGGAGCAGUUUCUUACUGAGCAGCCUGGUUCCAACACGCAUCAGGAGGCCCAAUCAGAAAGGCGAGAUGGAGACAAUAAAGGUGAUCAGGUGAGAAUAGGAGAUCGGGAAAACUUAUGGUGGGGAAAGAAGAAUGUGGAACAGAUGACAGAAAAGCUGGGGCAUCUCACCUCAGCAGAGAAAACCUAACUGCUCGUAUUUCUUGUAGCU